GCAUAUCAAUAAGCGGAGGAAAAGAAACCAACAGGGAUUGCCCUAGUAACGGCGAGUGAAGCGGCAACAGCUCAAAUUUGAAAUCUGGCUUCGGCCCGAGUUGUAAUUUGCAGAGGAUGUUUCUGGCGCGGUGCCUUCCGAGUUCCCUGGAACGGGACGCCACAGAGGGUGAGAGCCCCGUAUGGUUGGAUACUAAGCCUGUGUGAAACUCCUUCAACGAGUCGAGUAGUUUGGGAAUGCUGCUCAAAAUGGGAGGUAAAUCUCUUCUAAAGCUAAAUAUUGGCCAGAGACCGAUAGCGCACAAGUAGAGUGAUCGAAAGAUGAAAAGCACCUUGAAAAGGGGGUUAAACAGUACGUGAAAUUGUUGAAAGGGAAGCGCUCAUGACCAGACUUGUGCUGGGCAGCUCAUCCGGGGUUCUCCCCGGUGCACUCUGCCCAGUUCAGGCCAGCAUCGAUUUUUGCUGGGGGAUAAGAACGGUAGGAACGUGGCCCUCCUUCGGGUGGGUGUUAUAGCCUACCGUACGAUACCCUGGUGGAGAUCGAGGUUCGCGCAUCUGCAAGGAUGCUGGCGUAAUGGUCAUCAGCGACCCGUCUUGAAACACGGACCAAGGAGUCGUCCAUUAGAGCGAGCGUUUGGGUGUAAAACCCGCACGCGUAAUGAAAGUGAAAUUAGGUGAGAGCUUCGGCGCAUCAUCGACCGAUCCUGAUGUUCUCGGAUGGAUUUGAGUAAGAGUUUUAACGGACGGACCCGAAAGACAGUGAACUAUGCUUGUAUAGGGUGAAGCCAGAGGAAACUCUGGUGGAGGCUCGCAGCGGUUCUGACGUGCAAAUCGAUCGUCAAAUAUGAGCAUGGGGGCGAAAGACUAAUCGAACUGUCUAGUAGCUGGUUACCGCCGAAGUU
rnacentral:rRNA from 1 species